UAUUAGAAAGUCGUAAGUGUCA
rnacentral:miRNA from 2 species